rnacentral:lncRNA from 1 species
CCCGGUGCUGGGUAAAUUAGAGAAAAUGAGGAACAAAACCACACCUGGAAUCUGAAACUAAAAUUAACUUUUUCCAGCAAUGUCCUAUUGUGUCCGGAAUUGGUGGGUUCUUGGUCUCACUGACUUCAAGAAUGAAGCCGCGGACCCUCGCGCUCAAAAUACUCUUAUUUGAGCCUAAGAAGAGAACUAAGAGGAGAAAGGAAUGUGCAGCUGUGAGGGUCUUAAAAGCAAAUGAAUCUAAGGUCUGUUUCCUAGUGCUACCUUUAGGGUCUCUUACCCUUGGAACUCUACACAGCUGUCAGAAAGAGAUAAAUGAAUUCUUAGAGUUUGGGUGCACAGAAUAUUGUCUUAUGGAACUUCAAAAAUCGUUAGAUCCAUCUUCAUAAAAAGAACUCUUGCAGUCAAAUAACCUGUUUCCAGGAAAGGAAUGGCCAUGGCAUAUAGACCAACCUCGACUUGCGUAUGAAACUACACUAAUGGGCAUCAAGUUUAUUUGAAUUCGAGAUAUAAACUGAACGUCUGCCAGAGAAGAAUUGAUUUGAUAUUUUUAUAUAAUCUGUAUUUUAGUAAACUAAAGUCUAUGUAUGUAAUCUGAUAUAUAUGUAAUAAAUAAAUAUGCAUAAUAAAUAGCAGGCC